GCCUGCCAAGCCUCGACGAUCUGUGCUUCCGCCCCUUUAAGAAACAGUUCUCUGGCCCCUGAGCUAAGCAGGAUCGGAGGGGCUGGACGUGCAGGACUCAGAGGGGGAGCGAGGAGGGCUGGGGUGAGGACACCUUUGUCACACGCUGCUUUUCUGUCACUCAGCCCUGGAGGCUCCCUCUGCCUGAGGGCUCAGUCCCCUGCUGCCUGGUCCUGACCCGCAGGACAAGCACAGAUAAGGCUCAGGGAACAACAGCAAAAGGCAGGGCUGCCGUGGAAGCCUGUCCACCAAUCCUCACCUCUCACCUCUGUGUCCCGCCUACCGGGAAAUGUUCCAGGCUCUGGCCAAGUCCAGUGCAGACCCAGGUCCCCAAGCGGCAGGUUGGAUGCAGACCAUGGCCUCUCACAAGCUGCUGGUGCCCCCGCCCAAGGCCCUGCUCAAGCCCCUCUCCAUCCCCAAGCGGCUCCUGCUGGGGCCCGGUCCCUCCAACCUGGCUCCUCGCAUCAUGUCGGCCGGGGCAAUGCAGAUCAUCGGGCCGAUGGACAAGGAGAUGUACCAGAUCAUGGACGAGAUCAAGGAAGGCAUCCAGUACGUGUUCCAGACCAGGAACCCGCUCACACUGGUCAUCACUGGCUCCGGACACUGUGCCCUGGAGGCCGCCCUGGUCAAUGUGCUGGAGCCUGGGGAUUCCUUCCUGGUCGGGGUCAAUGGCAUUUGGGGGCAGCGAGCCAUGGAAGUCGGAGAGCGCAUGGGAGCCCGAGUGCACCCAAUGACCAAGGACCCUGGAGGCCACUACACACUGCAGGAGGUGGAGGAGGGCCUGGCCCAGCACAAGCCGGUGCUGCUGUUCUUGACCCACGGGGAGUCGUCCACCGGCGUGCUGCAGCCCCUUGACGGCUUCGGGGAACUCUGCCACAGGUACAAGUGCCUGCUCCUGGUGGAUUCGGUGGCAUCCCUGGGUGGGACCCCUCUUUACAUGGACCAGCAAGGCAUCGACAUCCUGUACUCGGGCUCCCAGAAGGUCCUGAACGCCCCUCCAGGCACCUCGUUCAUCUCCUUCAGUGACAAGGCCAAAAAGAAGAUGUACUCCCGCAAGACGAAGCCCUUCUCCUUCUACCUGGACAUCAAGUGGCUGGCCAACUUCUGGGGUUGUGACGACCAGCCCAGGAUGUACCAUCACACGAUCCCCGUCAUCAGCCUGUAUGGCCUGAGAGAGAGCCUGGCCCUCAUUGCGGAACAGGUGCAUAGGCUGCACUCCACAGGAGGAGACAGGGCCACUGGCUGGAUGGUUGAGGGCACGGCCUGCAGAGAAGGAACCAUUCCUGGUGCACAGAGAGAAGGGAGCCUGCCAGAGAGAGGCCCUCAGUGGGGAUGGGGGAGAGAGGACGGGCCCCGGGCGCACUGGCUGUGGGCAGGGCCGGGAGGACACAGCCCCAGGGACAGAUGCAGCAAUGGGGCAAGUGCGGACGCUCCCAACCGUUCCACUGCCAUGUGAAGCAGUAAGUGAGGCCCGGUGAGUGGCGGGCUGAGAGAAGGGGAUGCCGCCGAAGGGGCCAGAGACAUGCAGCCUGCAGAUAGGUGGGUGUGGAUGUAAAGUGAGGGACUGGAAGGUCCUGCAGGCUUGUCUUGUGUCCCACAGGGCCCUUUGCCAGCCACCUGUCCAGCAUCCAGGAAGGGUCCCCAGGCUGCAGUCAGCUUCCCGUGAGGUUGCAAGGCCGUGCCUGCCAUGUUAGUUCUCCUGGGUCCACUCAUAAAGCCACUGCCUAGGGCUGGGGCCUGGAGAACAGCUGGCGCCAGCACCGCGAGGCCACAGCGUAUCUGCACCGGCGCCUGCAGGCGCUGGGGCUGCAGCUCUUCGUGAAGGACCCGGCGCUCCGGCUGCCCACG